CCUACGGGUGGCAGCAGUGAGGAAUAUUGGUCAAUGGGCGGGAGCCUGAACCAGCCAGGUCGCGUGAGUGAAGACGGUCCUAUGGAUUGUAAACCUCUUUAGGCGGGGAGCAAUGCCGGGCACGUGUGCCAGGAGGGAGAGUACCCGCAGAAUAAGCAUCGGCUAACUCCGUGCCAGCAGCCGCGGUAAUACGGAGGAUGCGAGCGUUAUCCGAAUUUAUUGGGUUUAACGGGUGCGUAGGCGGAUUGUUAGGUCAGCGGUAAAAGCCCGGGGCUCAACCCCGGCUAGCCGUUGAAACGGGCGGGCUGGAGUGGAAGAGAAGUAAGCGGAAUGCGCGGUGUAGCGGUGAAAUGCGUAGAUAUCGCGCAGAACACCGAUUGCGAAGGCAGCGUACCGGCUCCACACUGACGCUGAGGCACGAAAGCGUGGGUAGCGAACAGGAUUAGAGACCCGUGUAGUC
rnacentral:rRNA from 1 species